CUCUGUUCUGGAGGAUUCCUGCAAUGGCACCAAAGUUGAAGGCUUUGAUAGAUCUUGUAAUGGCAGAUUUGGUUAGCUUUGUUGUUGCCUGGGAGGCUUAAACCCCAGCUCCUCCUAUUGUAUAACUCCUAGAGGUUGGAAAGCUGAGCUCAGGAUGCCAGCCUGUUGGGUUGGUUCUGGCGGGAUUCCUCUUCUUGGUUUGCAGAUGGCCAGCUCCUGGCUGUGACCUCACAGGAAGAGAGUAGAGAGAAUGGGAGCAAUGACUUUCCUAUUUCUCCUUAACAAGGUGUUAAUCCUACAGAGAAGACUCCACAUUCAUGACCUAGUCAUUUCCCAUAGACCUUACCUUUAAAUGCCAUUAUACUGGGAUUCAGUCUUCGCCAUACGUUUUUGUUUUUGUUUUUUUUUUGGGGGGGGUGUUCAUUCAGUUGUGGCACAAGGAAAAUUAUUCAGUAUUAAUACAGCAUUUCCCAAACUUGACUGGAUUCAUUUUGCGGAGGAUCAGUAUCUAACUCACCUGGCUGACAGAAGUACUAUGGGAAGUGAGUGGCAGCGCCCUCUAUCGGCAGCGCAGGGUUAGGACUUGCUUCUCCACAGAUGGUAAAUACUCUGCAACCUUAACCAGCACCCCACUCUCCUCACCUAUGAGCCGUAGAAAAUAAUAUCAACUCCCAAAGAGUUAAUGUACCGUGAAAAUCUCAAGUAAGCUAGAAAAUAUUAUACAAAUAUGUGAUGUGGCUUGUUUCAAUAGUGGGAGUAGCGGGGGUGUCAAAUAGAAGGGUCUGAGCUCACUGCUUUGGGUCUGAGUUCCUUCUUCCGGACACUGGGGACAAGAGUGUUUUCAUCCACUAGUUUUCUCAAAAGAAGAUGCUUCCUCCUCUGUGCCCAUCAUGCCCACUGCAGAUCUGAAAUGCUUGCCCAGAGGAAGGGCAGGAAUGGAUCUGACGCCAGCACAUUCAUCUUAGACCGCCCUUAUCUCAUUUUCACGGUCACCGGAGACAGUCAGGGAAGAUAACCAGAUGUUCCAGCAUCCCCCUCAUUCGCUCUCUCUGGCUCACUCUAUCUUUUUUUGUAAAUUGAAUUUAGAGGGUCUGUUUCUUAGCAACAGCAGCAGUACAUGGCUCCAGAGUACUCCUCAGCCAUUGCGGUGCUCACAUGAGCCUUUCUUUACAGGCUGCAAAUUGAGACCUACACCAGGACGGAUAGGCCAGCCGGCUUGAGAUCAGCAGUCCAGGGCUGAAUUUAGGAGGGGGAGAAUUCCCAAAGAACUCAAGGGCCUAGACAGACAGCUCAGUUGGUUAAGAGCAUUUGCAGAAGACCUGGAUUCAGUUCUCUGGAUUCAACAUGGAGGCUCACAAUCACUUAAGGAAGAGAAACAAGAGAAGGGAAGAAAACUUGUCCUUUGGUGAAUCCCCGAAACUGUCUGGGGCUGGAGUUCCGAGUUCUAAAUGCUUCAUGUGAAUGGGACCAUAAGUUGUAUGCACCCUUGUAACUCCAUCUUCCAAAUAGCGUAAUGUUUCCAUGGUUCACCCAUAUGGUAACGGAGUCAGUGCUCCAUAUCUUCUUUUGUCUGAGGGUUAUUUUAUGGUUUAGGUAGGUAUCUGUGGCAGUUUGAAUAUGCUUGGCCUAGGAAGUGGUACUAUUAGAAGGUGUGGCCUUGUUAGAGUAGGUGUGGCCUUAUUGGAGGAAGAGUGUCACUGUGGGGGUAGGCUUUGAGAUCUUUCUCCUAGCUGCCUGUGAGACAGUCUCUCCUGACAGUAGUCUGAUCCAGAUGCAGAACUCUUAGCUCCCUCCUCCAGGACCAUGUCUGCCUGAAUGCCACCAUGCUUCCUGCCAUGAUAAUAAUGGACUAAACCUCUGAAACUGUAAGCAGGCCUAAUGAAAUGUUUGCCUUUAUAAGAGUUGCUUUGGUCAUAGUGUCUCUUCAGAGCAAUAAAACCUUAACUAUGACACUCCCCAUACACUGAUGGCCCUUUUGUCCCUUGCUAUUCUUUGGAAUAACUUUGUUUUAAACCAUUGUGUGAUCUUGUGAUUCAUACCUUGUGAGUAUACACCCAGGAGUAGGGUUACUGUGCCACAGGAUGACUCUCUUUCAUGGUAUGAGAAGCUGUCAAACUCCUUCCAAAACUGAAUUUUCUACCCUGACUAGGGGUACAGUAAGAUCUUUUUUUUUUUAAAUUUACUUUCUUGCUUGUUUCUAGAUCUUUACUAGUUGUUAUAAUCUGACUUACUGAUUAUAGCUGCCCCACUUGGUAUCAACGGCUAAGACAUUGGUUCCAGUUUGUAUUUCCCUGAAGGUACAUGAUAUUAAACACCUUCCUCCAUUCCUGUUGACCAUUUAUGGUCUUCUCUAGGAGAAAUGCCCAUUCUAAUUCUUUGCUUUUUAUCGAACUUUUCAUUUUAUUAUUAAGUUGUCUGAGUUCUUUAUCUACUUUGUGUAUAUAUCCCUUAGUAGAUAUCUGGUUUGCAGAUAUCUUCUCUCAUUUAGUGGGCCUCUUUUUUUCCCCUUUAUUUUUUUUUACGAUACUCUUUGAAGUACAAAGUGUCACUUUUCAGUGAGGUUCAAUUUGUCUACUUUUUAAAAAUUUUGUCCUUUCUGUGUUUGGGAUCACAUCUGAAAAAAAAAAUAAGAAGGAGAAGAAAACCACCAUCUAAUCAGAAAUCACAAAACAUUUCCCCCCACAUUUUUUUUCUAAGAGGUUUCUAGUUGUAGCUUUUAAAAUUGGAAUUUUGAUUCAGUUUUGGGUACUUUUACAUAUGGAGUGAUGUAGGGAUCCAAUUUUGUCCUUCUGCAUGUUGUCCCAGAACCAUUUUGUUGAAGACACUACUACUUCCCCGUGAAUUAUAGUUUGGCACCCUUUCCAAAGAUGAAUUGACUGUCAGUGUGAGGAUGUCUUUCUGGGUUCUCGAUUUGACUCAAUUAAUCUCCAUGUUUGUUCAUAUGCCAAGCCCACUCUGUCUUGACUACUGUAACUUGGAAGUAAGCUUUGAAAUCAGGAAGCGUGAGUCCUCCAACUUGAGUUAUUCUAAGCCUCAAUGAAUUUCCAAGUGAGCCUUAGGACCAGCUUGUCCAGCCCUGCAAAGAAGCCAGCUGAGAUUCUGCUGGAAACUGAGUUGCAGCUAUGGAUGGAUUACGUUGCCCUAUCCCUGAGCAUAUAAUGUCUUCCUGCUCAUUGGAUUGUGCAUUUCCUUCAACAGCUUGCUAAUUUUCAGAGUGCAGACUUUGUGACUUUUAUUUUAUUUUAUUUUAUUUUUUUACGAAAUGAGUUCCUGAGUACUCUAAAAAAAUUUAUUGUGCAUAUGUCUCGUAUAAGUGUGUGUGUAUAUGUGUGUGAGUGUGUGUGUUUCUGUGUGUGAGUGUGUAUGUGUGUAUGUGUGUAUAUGUGAGUGUGUGGGUGAGUGUGUAUGUGUGAGUGUGUGUAUAUGUGAGUGUGUGAGUGUGUGUGAGUGUCUUUGUGUGUGUGUCUGUGUGUGUAUAUGUAUGUGUGAGUGUAUGUGUGUAUGCAAGAGUGUGUGUGUAACUGUGUGUGUGAGUGUGUGUAUAUGUGUGAGUGUGUAUGUAUGCAUGUGAGAGUGUGUGAGUGUGUGUUUAUGUGUGUGAGUGUGUGAGUGUGUGUGUGCGAUUGUAUAUGUGUGAGUGUGUGUGUAUGUGUGUAUGUGUGAGUGUGUGUAUGUGUGUGAGUGUGUGAGUGUGUGUGAGUGUCUCUCUGUGUGUGUAUAUGUAUGUGUGAGUGUAUGUGUGACUGUGUGUUGUGAGUGUGUGUAUAUGUGUGAGUGUGUGUAUAUGUGUGUGUGUGAGUGUCUAUGUGUAUGUGUAUGUGUGAGUGUAUGUGUAUAUGUUAGAGUGUGUGUGUGUGUGACUGUGUAUGUGUGUGUGUGAGUGUGUGUGUGUGUGUGUGUGUGUGUGUGUGUGCCAGAGUGCAUGUGUGGAGUUCAGAGUUCAACUUUAUAGAGUCAGUUCUUUUCUACGGACAUUGUGUUGGCUCCGUGGAUUGAAUUCAGGUCACAAGCCUAGCAUGCCAAGGAUCUUAUCCUAUCAGCCAUCUUAUGCACCUCGAAUUUCUGAGAAUUCUUUUUAGACACUAUUGCAAACCAAACUGUUUUACCCAGUGUUAGGGUUUCAAUCUGAAAUGUCCACUACAGGAUCGUAUGUUUGGACACUUGGCUCCCAGUGUGUGUCUGUCUAUGUGAGUGUCUGCCACAUGUUGGGUGGGUGCUCAGGGAGGCUAGACGACUGUAAGGUCUGGAGCUGGAGCCAUGGGCACUUGUGAGCCACAGUUGGUAUAGCAAAGUAUGAUUGCUAUAGCAAAGCGUCCUUUCACCUGUGCCUGCUUCAGGAAAACACUCUUUCCUGUGUCUGCUUUAGCAAGACAUCUUUCACCUGUGUGCCACAACAAAAUGUCAUUUGACAUAACUAACUUUGCAAAGAAACUAGAAGUUUUCACUUCACUUUUAUAUUACAUGGUCAGUGAGAAUGUCCAAGCACUGGGCUUGGAAUCACAAGAUCUGGCUUUGGCAUCUUGACUCAAACAGGAUCUACUGGGCUUGGCUACUGGGCUGGGCUACAGCAGAUGUCUUUAUCAAUGAGGCUCAUAGCCUCUAGCAAACACCAAAACUGUAGAUAGUACCAAAGCUUCUAUGGUAUUUGGUGUGGAUCCUCUGUUCAUUCUAUCCUCUAUUAACCUUAGUAACCACAGCAUACAUAUUUUCAUUUCAUUAUUAAGCGCAGAACUUUUACCCUUUUACUUGGUGGCAUAGAGCAUUCUACAGCUUUUCUUUGGCAUAUUUGAAUGACUGACAUCACUAUUGUCCUGCUUGGGGCCACUGCUAAAUAAAGUGAAUGUUACUUCCAUGCAAACACCAUGGCAUUUUGACAGCCAGACUGAUAACCAGGAAUUAGUGAUGGGUAGACAGCAUUAAUUAUGGCUACGCUGGAUAAAAGGGUGUUGGGUGCCCAGGACAGGAUGGAGAACAGUGAGGAAUCUCAUAGCAUCACUCAGAAAGUUGCUCCAUUUAAAACUGGGGAGUUGUUCAUUUCUAAAACUUAUCCCUCAAUAAUUUUCAAUAAGUUUGAAACUCUGGAAGGCAAAACUUUAAAUGACGGUGGUGAAGGGUACACCUCCCACAAACCUCUUUCAUAUCCUUAUUUAUCGGGAGACCUAAAUGGCAGCCAUAGGAGGUCCAGGUGCUGUGCAAAAGAAGCUCUGGGCACAGAACACAUCAGGCCAUUCUCUGGUACACUGAGUUCUAUAUUGAUGCUUCUUGCAGAAAGGAAGCAGGGAACCAGAGAGCUGUGGGACAGGUGGGACAGUGACUGAGGAUUUACUGAGAUGACAGAUCUCUACUGUGUGCACCUCUCACCUGGGACCCAGCCACAACAGGGUAAGUACUGUGGGGAAGCAGGCAGACACUGGAGCCAGAAUUACAAGGAUUCGGCAGUCAGUGUUGCCACCAAACCUUGAUUGCUCUCGUGGAUAAGUCUUUUCUGUGCCUUGGUGUUUUUAUCUGCAACAUGGGAGAGCAACAGUCCCUCACUAGAGUGUCGCAGUGUUAGAUAGGUCACUGGGUACCAAGAGCUUGGGACAGAGCCUGAAAGUCAAUGAACUGAUAACAUGACUAAAGAUGUCUUGAUACUUCUAAGGCAUCCUCCACAACAUAUUCUCAUGAUCUUCUAGAGAGUAGCUCUAUCUCUCCAUGGCAUAGCCAUUGAAAGUUUCUUCUGGGCUUAAAGUCUAAGCUUUUCCAGAGCCUGUGGCCUGUGAUUCCUACAAAGCCCUUAGCCACAUCUCUUGACAGUUUAUCUCAGGCUUACUCCUCGCCCCUUUCCACAAUACAGUCAUUCAGGCGUCCUGCCUCAUAUUACCAAUCUGUUCUCCCAGUAUUUCCACAGAUCAACAUGGGUCCUUCAAGGGCAGCAUGAACAUACUCAAAGUUGCAAAUAAGGUGACUAUGACAGCGUUGAUAUGAUUGCCUAUUGUUUGGUUUUUCUUUCUGAAGUAGUGCCAUGCUCUUAAAGGAAAAUUGUUUACUUUUGUGGACACAAUAGGACUACGAGCUGGAGAGUGAGACCCCGCACAUCAAAGGUUCCCAGGCCAGAAACUGAAAACCCAUUAGUUUAAAAAGACAGUGCUGGUGGAGAGAUGGCUCAGCGGUUAAGAGCACUGGCUGCUCUUCCAGAGGUCCUGAGUUCAAUUCCCACAACCACAUGGUGGCUCACAACCAUCUGUAAUGGGAUCUAAUGCCCUCUUCUGGUGUGUCUGAAGAAAAAAAGACAGUGUCUGGAAAUGUAAAGCUAAAAGGGGACCACAUGGAAGGACAGGUAUUUAGGGAAGUGUUUUCCAUGCUUCACAGCCAUAUGGAAGCUGCUUCAGUCUUGUCCCAAAGGGCCUGGCUUCCUCUCAAGUUGUCAGCCUGGCCUCAUCUCAGGUUGUCAACAGAAGCCUGGUGCUUUCCACAUGGAUCUGGUUUUAUAAGCAUGUGACUGUAAGAGUUAAGGGUUCAUUGAGGUUUGCACCGAGCUUCCAGAGAGAAGCAAAUGAGGUCAGCCAGUGAGUACCACAGUCCUGUGUGGGGUUCCCUAGAAGGUUGGGUGUGCAACUGAAACCCACAUCUAAAUCACAGUGAAUACGUUAGGAUAAUGAUUAUGCCAGAACCAUGGGGAGCCCACUGAGGGGGAGGGGGAGGUGCUGAGAGGAGGCAGAGCAGGGUGAGAUCGUGUGGAUUGCAGGCAGCAGGGAGAUGGGGUGAAGCUACCCAAGGCUGUUGGAGAUCAGAUGGUGCUACCAGAUGCCCCAAAUGUGGAACAUGAAACUGCAGGGGUUAAUGCUUGCCCAGCUGGGAUUUGGUCUUGCAUUGGUCUGAUCUAUGAUUGUUGUUGUUUUAUUAUUAACCACCCUCUCGAAAUGUGAAUUUAUACACUGUACUCACAGGCUCCUCUUUUGUGUCCCUAGUUAGUGGGACGUUAGGCCUUUAGGGUUAAAACCCAGCCUUGUUUCCAGUGCCACUGGCUGUUUCCUGGUCUACCCAAUGCCAGACUCGGCAGCUGUAAGUGAACGCCAACUCAGACCAAGCCACUUGGCCAUGACGUUCUGAGAGCAAGAGCCAAAGCAAACCUUUGCACCCUUCAACUGCUUCUCUCAGUUAUUUCAUCACAACGAUGAGAAGUGACUUAUAUCCAUGUUUCUGUAAUGAGCCCUCCUCUAGGACUCUCUCUCUGAGUUGCAGCCUGACCUGAGGAAAAUUCUAGAGAGCCAGUUGUGAAAACUUGAGGAUCCACUUCCCUUUGGGAAAUAGCAAAGGUUUAAGGACAGUGGUAAAAUGUCUUGACUCAUAUGCUUCAUCCCACUCUGUCCUCCAUGGGAAAAUGGCGGAGAUGUGCAAGAGGGAAAGAAACAGCCAUGGAGUACCCACUCAAAGCCAGGAGUCUGACCUCCACAAUGAACUUGAUCUUUACUACACUUGGCCAAAAGUGGAAGCAUCAUCUUCAUUGCAGUGGAGCUGAGGGAAUUGGGACAGAAAGGGUUGGGGUGUGUCCACAGAACCAGCGAGUGGCAAGCUGAACACACACAAGCCAGUGUGUCUUCUCGGAAUGAUGUCAGGAAGGUCUUAAAGAGUCUGCUUUAAUAGAAGGGGUGGGGGUGGGGGUGUACCAAGAAACAACGUGCAGAAGUUCAGAAAAGUAGUAUCAGGGCGCCCGCACAAGCCUUGUCCCCUACCUGGCAAUGUUUUCCAAAGCUCAGGGGCAGCUCUAUAGAACAUGUUUGCCCACUGGAUGGAGCCCAUAGCUGGCACAGAGAUAGGCAUAGCCAUUCUCCCCAUCAGCGUCCCUGCGUCUGGCCAGCUUUCUUCCAUCACUCCUGAGAGACUUGAACUGAGUUCUCAGCUGUGAAUAAAGGAGCUGCACUGACAGACUGGCUGGAGACCAGAGCAGCAGGCAGGGUGAGUCGGAAGGAGGAUGCAGCUUCCGGAUGGGCAGCUCCAGUUGUUCCUGAAGGAGGAGACUGACUAGGUAUGGAGGACAUAGCUAGGGAAUCACCUCCCUCUCUGAGGGUACUGGGUAGCCUGUGCAUGUCCAAGUUCAGCCAGCACUGCUAAAUCUCUGAUUUGGAAUUACCUGAGUCCUGGCGAGGCAGAGGUUACUCAGCAUGGCUGACAGACUGGGAACAGAAUACCUGUCACUGGAGGUGUCCAGGAGAAGAGCUGCUGUCUUGUUCACCUGGGCUCUGCAGAGAAGUACUCACAGAAGAAGACACUGAGUGACCCUUGAGAGCCCUUAUUGCAUUUUGUCCCACAACUCUGACAAGGGACAAACCUAGCCCAUCCCAGCCAGAUUGCAAACACGUGGCCCUAAACAUGUUAUGGUGCUCCUACCAAACCCCAGCCUCUCUUCACACUGCAGAACAGUCACCAUCUCUUUCUCAUUCCUUUCUUCACUCAACCCAUAUACGUUCAUUGAGUACCUAUGGUGCUGUGCAAUAUUGCUAAGUCUUGGAGGGCCUAGGGGUGAGUCGUAUUAAUAUCCUGAUGGCACAGCAGGAGGGAGUCGUGUCCCCCUGUUCCCACAGGGAGUUGUUUGUGUGUGGCAGAUAUGUUAUAAGGGUCCUUAGCGGAGGUAGGAAGUGAGGAUGGUGUCAAGGCUGGAAAUGCUCGGGGUGGGCUAGGAGGGUGGCAGGAUGGCAGAAAGAUCAAAAAGACAAAGAAACAAGUUCCCCCCAAGUUCAGCACGACUCAAUGAAGAGGUGCCUUGGGCGCCCCUGUAGUAAAGAGAGGAAAGUGUUAAAGGACACUGGAGAGAGUCAGGUUACUUCACUCGAAGGAUGCCAAAGGUUGCUGGACUUCCUGGCUGGCAUUGGCAGCCCAAUAUUGGGCAAAGGCCUUCUCCAUGAAUACUGUAUCCUGAGCAGUUCUGGAAAAGGGGCCUGGGUGCUUAAGGGAAGCUAGCGAAGUGGUCCUGAAGGUGACAGACAAUUUACUCUCUCAGAACCUGACACCACGCUGCCCUUCCCAACAGUCCAGCAGCCUGUCUCUCUCUUUCACACAUGGAUGUCCAUCCUCCCUCCUGGGGCUUCGCCUCACCGUUUGUCAUUGCUGAAGCAGCAGUGACUGACACCGUCAGAGGCUGAUAAACAUGGCAUUCUAGUUCAACCCUUUUUCUUCUCCACCAUCUCUCUCACGUUUUCGAAAUACCUGGAAUGGAUGCUCCACAACAGGUCUGCUUUCCACCUAGGAAGGUAGGGGAAAGCCCAGCUGGGCUUCCUCACAAUAGCCCCAUCUACUCCACCUGGCCCCCAGACUCUGCAGGGGAAGUGGCUGCAGCCUGGUCUUCCGGGGCGGAGUCUGCAGGCUAUACACAUCCCUGCCUGCUUUAGAUGUUUGCCAGAUGGAUUGGACCACAAAAUGAGGUAAGGUGGAGGGGCUCUGGCUGAGGUGGAGGGACUCUGGCUGGGCCUGUUUGUCUGAUUUUGAAGCCUACCCCCUUUACUUUCUUACAACCUGUCUACACAAGUCCAGUGCACCCCUGGGUCUCUUGCCCAUGAUCAAGAAUUGCUGUUGGAACCCUAGAUCUUUUUGCCAUUGGUACAAAGCUGAUGUGCCUGUAGAUCCCCACUCUGUGUGCAUAAGGCCAACCUACCCGUAGGUCCCUUUAAUAGGGUUAUGAAGUUGAUAUAUCUCUGGGUCCCUUCCUUUGUGCAUGGUGCCAAAGGCUAUCCCUGGUCCUCUCACUGUGAGCAAGACUUAGGUGCACUGUUGGGUUUCCUCCCUGCCUUUUGGGUAUGAUAGUGGCCCUCUGCCUGCUAUAUACUUUUAUAGGUGAUGCCUGGGGCACAGAAGAGUGAGUAGCUGGGCUCACCAUCCUGGUGGGGAGAGGCAAGUACUACCUUUGUUCUUUAGCAUUGGCCCCCAGUUGGUCCGGGCUGUGGUCUGUUCCCAUUAAUGAAAACCGAACAUGACUGCCUAGCGUUGGUCAUACCUGCUCUGCACCCGGGCCCCUAUGCUGUCUGCUACAGUCCAGCCUGUGAAUCGGAUAUCAGGGAUUGCUCUGAUACUGGAGACAGACCAGAGAGGGAGAGGAAUAUAUCCAUGGCAACACAGCUGCUCUGUGUUAGACCAAGAUUGAGAAACAUUCAUUGAGUCCUUUUUUCUGGCCCAUGCUCCACUAUGGACUACUGCUAGUUACUUAAAUAAAGCUCUCAGUGGCCUUAAUGGCAGGUCAGGAGGACUGGGAUGGGUGGGUGCAGGAAAAGAAAGGAGGCAAAGAGGGGUGACGCGGGAGGCUGAGCAGUGAGAUCUGCCUUGAGUCAGUGGAGGUCCUGCUAGGAACCUCCAUUCUCCUGCAUGUCAAAUAAGGACACUGUCUAUGUUCAGCUUUCCUUCAGGAGUUUCCCUUAGGACAAAACCGCAGUGUGGGAACUGGCUGUACACACAGGCAGUGUCCAUCCAUUAGGAGCCCCCUGCCCUGGAUGAGCCUUGGCCAGUGGCUUCUGGACGUUGCUCUCUAUACCUUAUGAACUGCUGGGUGUCAGGACCCGCAGUGUGGAGUGGCCUGUGCCUCCCUGUGGCAUUAGUACUCAACUCCCAGUGAUGAAAAGUAGCCUCUCUCACAGGGACAAUGUCGUGCAGGGUGCCUACUCCUUGCCUGUGUGGGUUUCUCAGACUGGUUGCCUGGCAGGCUCAGAAAGCAGGCUGGCCUUAUCACAAGCUUAGUCUCCAGUUUCUGGGAAUGGUCUACACUCUAAAGCUUUCUUUCCCAGGGGCUGAUGCCAAGCAGGCUCAGCCUCCAUGUCUGGCAGGACUCCAGGUAUUUCCUCAGGAACCUUCUCAGCAGCAGCAGGAAGACCAGAGUGGUCAGGCCUUGGGGAUGCUUAGCAGGGCCCACUGUUGGCUUGGCCACAGCUAUAAAAUGGGUUCAUACAAGCUUCCCUUAGGCCCUGGUCUGAGUAUCACUCUGCCUUACAGAAACGGAGCAGGCUCAGCUAGCAUCAUGUACUAGGAAAGAGUGGAUUGCCUGUGAGAUGUCAUUAGGGCCCUGGCAGCCAACAGAUAAAGCCUGCAAGCAUUGUGUGCUGGGUUACUAGGGAGUUGGAAUGGAGUGUAGGGCCUCAGCCCUCUGACCUGACCCAGUCCAUGGGUAGGCAGUGCUACCUGGCUUAGGUGUGUGAGUAUGAGUGUGUAUGUGUGUGAGUGUAUGUGUGUGUGUGUGUGUCAGAGUGUGAGUAUGUGUGUGUGAGUGUAUGUGAGCAUUUGUGAGUGUGUGAGUGUGUAUGUGUGUGAGUGUGUGUAUGUGUGUGAGUGUAUAUGUGUGUGAGUGUGUGUGAGUGUGAGUAUGGAUGUGAGUGUGUGUAUGUGUGUGAGUGUGUGUAUGUGUGUGAGUAUGUAUGAGUGUGAGUAUGUAUGUGUGUGUGUGAGUGUGAGUGUGAGUGUGUGUGUGUGUGUGUGUGUGUGUGUGUGUGUAGUAGGGGUAUUGUCCUGGAUGUCCUCAGGAGUUGCCCUUCACAGAAGCUGUCUGAUAACCAUGAGUACCUAGCCACACUCUGAGCUUGUGCUGGGUCAGCUCCUGUGCACAGCAUUCGUUCCUGCCUUUGCAGCUGCCCCAUCCAAGUUGCUCCACUAUUGCCUCCUUGCUUUAAGCUGAUGCUUUCUACUCACUUCCCUGGUGUUCCUCUGUUGACCUUGGUUUUAGAGGUUUCUCCCAAGAGAAGCCUUCUCAGAGUGCCUGGGAGAAGGGGACCACCCCUUGCCCUAGCCCCUGCCUUCUAGAACAGCCUGUGGGAAGCCCAACAGUGUGGGGGAGGUCUCAGGGUCUCUUCAUCUUUCCCCCCACCAUGAGGUCUAAGAGGGCAAAUUCCACAGCCCGUCUGACUCUUUGAUAUCUCAGAAUGAGUGGGGAUUACACAGAUGCAAGGAGGAAUGCACGAGUCAAGGGCAAACGCCACGGGAAGCCCUGGUCUGGGUCCCUUUGCCUUCAUCAGCUCUGUGGUGGAGUUGGGACUAUGCUGUGUCCCUCUGUGAUGGUAGACUUGCUUCAGGAGGAACCAGCACAAGCCAGGGAGCAGUUUCAAGCACUGUAGCUGCCUGGCUGGGGGCUUGUGGUAAAGAGUGUGGUGACCUUGGGUGGCAUGGGUGGCAGAUUCAGGUAUGAGCAUCUAUUCUCUGGUGUUAGUUUCCACAAGAGACCCACAAAUGGACCUGCUCGGGGAAGCAUAGACCUCUUUUUCUCAGGGUCAAAAUCAAGGCUAGUGACAUUUUAAAGUAUUAACAUGUGUACACUGUCAGAUGUAUCUCAACAGCGUUGCGGGAGAUGGCAGGCCUGCCUGUUUAGUUUUACCUGGGCUCCCUUAUUUUUGGCUAUGGCUGUCCUCUCUCCAGAAGUGUAGUUUUAUUGGUUGUGUAUAAAAUGUCCCCCAUGGUUCCAUGUCCCUAGCUGGUGACACUGUUUUGGAAGGUUGUGGUUUCUGAUUGGUGUCAGUGUGUCCCUGGGGUAGGCCUUUGAGGUUUAUAGUCAAUCUGUGUUCUGAUUCCUGAUCCAAUAGGAUGUGGGGUGCCCUGUCUCAGGAUCUCACUGCCAGAGGCAAGCUGACACCAGGCCAAUCCUGCUGUGAUGAGCUGUAAAUUGCAUCUUCUAGUUCAGUUGGAUUUUCCACUCCUCAGGAUAAACAAGAUUCAUGAGGACUGUGCCACCUGCAUCACAGAACAAGAGAGGCCCACCUUGGAGCACCCAGAGAGCAGUAACUGUAGGGAUCCAGAAGUUGAUUCCAAAGGGAAUGAGAAGCACCGUCUCCCUGGUGGUGGAAGAUACUUACAUGCACACGACUAGGCUCUAGCAAGUUCUACAACCAUAGGCAGCUACCUUCUCUUGGUUGCCUCAGUGAUGCAACAAGUCAGUUCUUCUUGUGUGAAGCUCAUUUGGAGCAGGCAGAGCAAGAGGCACUGGGCAGAUACUGAGGAAAGCAUAGGCACUUAGGGCAGGCUCGUGGGAAGCCCCGAAGGGAGACUUUCUACCCCAAAGGUGUCUCUUUCACCUCCUCCUUCACUGACAUCCAAAACCUCACCCUCAUAGCUGCCGUCUCCUCUCUGAAUUAUGGGAAAAGUCAUUUUCAAAUAAAGCUGUGUUCUUCAUUUAGAA